AUGACAAUUGUCCAGGACAGACUGAAACACCAUAGUUUUUUUAAGAGCAGGUUCUUGAACAGAAAAAAUGACUAUGUGGAGUAUCACUGUACAGACUCGAGCUACUACCCUGAAAACUAUAAAAGUUUUAUUAGCUGUAUCAAGUAAAUUUUAGUAACUUGCACUGCAGUAUUUUUUCCAUCCACUAAAAAGAGAGAAGUUAUAAAUGCAUUGCCAAUGCAACUGGUUUUAUAGUAGCUUAUGAAACCUAAACUAAAUUUAAGUAUCUGAAUUAAAUUAUUUGCAACUUGCAUAAGCAUUAUAAUAUGUUUACAAGCUACUGAUAUACAUUAUUAUUAUUAUUACAAUCAAGGGGGAAGCGCUAAACCCGGAGGAUUAUACAGCGCCUGGGGGGGGGAUGUGGAAGGCAUUCAGGCUUAAUUUGGGGAACUGGAGCACAGAUCCAAUUCCCUAAAUCAAGAGCCCCUCACCAACAUCAAGGAACCUUCCUUGAGGGGUACUGAUAUACAGCAUCUCUCAAAUCUUUAUAAGUCACUACAACUUAAUGAAAACCAUAAAAUAUGUCAGUUCAUCUUGGUUUUGUCAAGUCCAGGUAUGACUGAGAGAGAAUCCUGUUGACUUAAUUUUUAAGGUCACUGUACAUCAAUUAACUCCGAAACUUGACUAAUUCCCGUUACCUAAUUCUUCUGACACAUUUAAAAUGAUAUAAAUGUGGAGAAUAAUGUACUGUACAUUUGCUAUCAGUGAUGAUAAAUCUGCUAUAGUUACAAAUACACACUUACAACACAAAAUCCAGAAUCUAGCAAUUAACACCAGGACACUAAACUGUAGGAUGAAAAAAUAGUAGCAUUGAAACAAGUUUUACUUGUCUUAUAUUUUUGUAUUUUUUUUUUUUUUUUUUUAAAGAUAUUUAUUUAAUGAUUUAGUUGCACAAAAAAAGACCAUGUAGUGUAUAUAUGUAGUAUAGAUAGGACUAUAACUGAGACAAGCACAGUGUGGCUAGAGAGUGGACAGAUGAAUGUGUAUUAUGGAGUACAAUGUAGAGAGAGUGAGAGGUACAGUGUGGAGAGGAGUGUAAAUGUCAAAUCUUCAGUCACAAGGUCUUUAGAUUCAACUAAUGAUCAUAUCCUGUGAUUUUCUUUUUCUAUUUAAAUCUGUCACGUGUCAACCUGUUGCCUUCUAAUAAUAGAUUUUAGUGAAUCUGAAGCAAAGAACACUACAAUUUAGUAAUGAUUCACUUUCUUAAUAAAAAACAGUAUUUAAAACUAUAAUAAUUUAUGUUGACAUACUGUGGAAAAGAGAAUUUCUUUGUAGUCAGAUGGUUGCUGUUAUCUUGCUUUCUCAAUGUUCACUUUUUUUGCAUCUGUUCCAGAUUCCCAAUGUACAAAGUAUAUCGUGAAAAUAGUCAUUGUAAAUACAUAGAUCGGUUUGGAAUUUAAGCAUAAUAAAUAAAGUGUUAUGUCAUCA